UACGGAGGGUGCAAGCGUUAUCCGGAUUCACUGGGCGUAAAGCGUGCGCAGGCGGCUUUGCAAGACAGAUGUGAAAUCCCCGGGCUCAACCUGGGAACUGCAUUUGUGACUGCAUGGCUGGAGUGCGGCAGAGGGGGAUGGAAUUCCGCGUGUAGCAGUGAAAUGCGUAGAUAUGCGGAGGAACACCGAUGGCGAAGGCAAUCCCCUGGGCCUGCACUGACGCUCAUGCACGAAAGCGUGGGGAGCAAACAGG
rnacentral:rRNA from 1 species